rnacentral:rRNA from 1 species
GAUGAACGCUGGCUGCGUGCUUAACACAUGCAAGUCGAACGGAAAGGCCCAAGCUUGCUUGGGUACUCGAGUGGCGAACGGGUGAGUAACACGUGGGUGAUCUGCCCUGCACUUCGGGAUAAGCCUGGGAAACUGGGUCUAAUACCGGAUAGGACCACUUCUUGGAUGUUGUGGUGGAAAGUUUUUCGGUGUGGGAUGAGCUCGCGGCCUAUCAGCUUGUUGGUGGGGUAAUGGCCUACCAAGGCGUCGACGGGUAGCCGGCCUGAGAGGGUGUACGGCCACAUUGGGACUGAGAUACGGCCCAGACUCCUACGGGAGGCAGCAGUGGGGAAUAUUGCACAAUGGGCGCAAGCCUGAUGCAGCGACGCCGCGUGGGGGAUGACGGCCUUCGGGUUGUAAACUCCUUUCGCUAGGGACGAAGCUUAUUUUGUGACGGUACCUGGAGAAGAAGCACCGGCUAACUACGUG